rnacentral:rRNA from 1 species
AUCUGGGCGGCGAAAUUCAGGAUGGCCGGCGGGUGUUUGCGCGCACUUUCGGCCAUUUGAUCUUUUCGUCGCCGCGUCAGACGUCGCGACCUGUUUGUCGUCGGUCCUUGCUCGGAGGAGUCGCGAUCGAGUUCGUUGUUGCGAGUGCGUUUGAAGCGUGCCGCGUACGGCGAAGACGCGAAUCUCUGGCCGACGACGGACAGUACGCAACGGUGUCCGGCGACGCGUUUCGCGCGUGGCGUCGGUGCCGGUCAGCGACGAUUUCUUCGGGCCUCUUUCCGACCCGUCUUGAAACACGGACCAAGGAGUCUAACAUGCGCGCGAGUCGCGGGGUAUCGAGCGCGUUACGGCGCGCUCGUUACGUAACGAAACCCGUACUUGAAAGGCGUAAUGAAAGUGAAUGGGGAAGAUGGUGGUUCCGAGAUCACGUUCCGCGAUCCAGUAUCGCGGCCGGACACCCGCAUUCCCGGGGCGUCUCAACGGCUCGUCGCGGAUGCGGACGGUCGUCCUUCGGGGCGGCCGUCGGUUCGCGACGGUCCGA